GACGAACGCUGGCGGCGUGCUUAACACAUGCAAGUCGAACGGAAAGGCCCCUUUGGGGGUACUCGAUUGGCUAACGGGUGAGUAACACGUAAGUAACCUGCCCUCGACUGCGGUAUAACUUCAGUAAACUGGGUCUAAUACCUGAUAGGAAGCCGUGCCGCCUGGUUGGUGUUGGAAGGCUUCGGCGGGUGUGUGUGGAAGCGCGGGUUAUCAGCUUGUUGGUGGGGUAGUUGCUUACCAAGGCUUUGAUGGGUAGGCGGCCUGAGAGGGCGACCGGCCACAGUGGGACUGAGAUACCGGCCAGACCUCCAACGGAGGCAGGAGGGGGGAAUAUUGGACAAUGGGCGGGAGCCCGAUGCAGCCACGCCGCGUGCGGGAUGGCGGGCUUUGGGUUGUAAAACGGUUUCAGCCGGGGACAAGCUUGUGGUGACGGUAACUGCUGAAGAAGCACCGGCUAACUACGUG
rnacentral:rRNA from 1 species